rnacentral:lncRNA from 1 species
CCUGUGAUGGGUUGUUGUCCUGUCCAAGCCUGGCUCCCCAACCUUGUACCCUGAGCUGCUGAGAUUGGCUCUGGCUAAUCACGACCGUGAGCUGGAAUAAUUGGGCAAAACAAGGAUGAUAAUAGGCAUGUCUCAGGGUUGCUGUGUGGACCAGCUAAGGCCCUAUGUAUGAAAGCACUUCACAUACAGAAGAGGGCUAGUCCAAAUACGUUUAGAUCCUGGAAGAGAACUUGCUGGCUUUUCACCUCAGCAUGUAUGGGCCAAACUAAUAUAACAAGAAGUCUUGAGAGGAGUCGGUGGCCAAGCUCCAUGUCUUGCAACCAAUCAAUGCUGUGGGAUGGAAGGUGGAAUGUCAUGUGUCUGGUUUACAGCACUCGCGUAUCAGUUGGCAGUUAACGGAAGUGCUAUUGAUUGGUGAUAUGCCUGCUCCCCCUUCACCUUCUAUCAUGAUUGUAAACUUCCUGAGGCCAUCACCAAAGGCUGACGUUGGCACCAUGCUUCCUGUACAGUUUGCAGAACGAUGGAACAAAAUAAACAUCUUUUCUUUAUAAAUUACCCGGCUUCGUGUAUUCCUU